rnacentral:rRNA from 1 species
GACGAACGCUGGCGGCGUGCUUAACACAUGCAAGUCGAGCGGAAAGGCCCUUCGGGGUACUCGAGCGGCGAACGGGUGAGUAACACGUGAGUAACCUGCCCCAGACUUUGGGAUAACCCUCGGAAACGGGGGCUAAUACCGGAUACGACACAGCUUCGCAUGGGGUCUGUGUGGAAAGUUUUUCGGUUUGGGAUGGGCUCGCGGCCUAUCAGCUUGUUGGUGGGGUGAUGGCCUACCAAGGCGACGACGGGUAGCCGGCCUGAGAGGGCGACCGGCCACACUGGGACUGAGACACGGCCCAGACUCCUACGGGAGGCAGCAGUGGGGAAUAUUGCCCAAUGGGCGGAAGCCUGAUGCAGCGACGCCGCGUGAGGGAUGACGGCCUUCGGGUUGUAAACCUCUUUCAGCAGGGACGAAGCGUAAGUGACGGUACCUGCAGAAGAAGCGCCGGCCAACUACGUG